UACAGUUGAUUAAACAGUUGAAACUAAAAAGUCAAGAAAACGUGUCCAGUUGAUGAGUACAUAAGUAAGACAUUAUCAAAGUUAAUAAUUCAUAAAGUAAUUCAUCGAAGGAUCGAUUCGUGACAAGAAAACGCUAAGAAGAUCAAUUUAUCUGCGAUAUGUUUAACAUCAAGUUAUUUUUUUUAAUAAUUUUGGCAAUAUUUUUUUUUACUGCUCAAACGUUAUCUGAAAGUGCCGGUGUUUAUCAGCAGUGUCAACCAGAUGGCGAGUUGUGCUCGGCGCCCGAAUACUGUUGUAGUGGGAAAUGCAGUCUGCAUAUGAGUGAUUCAUUCUGCGGAGAUAUACCAGAGUCACUUAUGAAAUUAGAGAAGCCCGAUCCACAUUUGUUUGGCUAAACUUCCAAUCCUCCUCCUCUCCUUAAAUCCCUUCAAUAAUUACUUAAAAAAGCGAAUUUUUUAUGUACAAAAGUGUCACUGUUAAUGAUUUUUGGCGGCAGAGCCAAGCAAGUCACCAUUAUGGUACUAGAACAGAUGUAGUAACUGACACGUGCACACACAUUGAUGAUACAAUAAUUAAUUGACUGAUUAAUUAACACAUGCGCAUAAUUCAAAGUGUAAAAUAUCAAUGAUUCGCCAGCUAAUAAUCGUUAACGAAUCGCGAAUUCAGUAGACACUGAACAAUAUUAGGUUUCAUCUCAGAUGUGAUGGUGGUAUCGUCAGUGAGGCAUUUCUAUCACAUCCUGCCUCAUACCUAACACAGAAGGUACCAUAAAAUUAUAAAUGGGUUGGACCUACGAGCCACCGUCAAUCGUAUGGUUUUAAAUAAUAUUAAUAUACUUAGUAAUUUUAUUUUAAAUCAUGAUAUUAGAUGAUAAAUCAGUUGAUACAACACUACACGGAAAGAAAAUUAUGGGAAGUGUUCCUAUGCAUUAUGGGAAUAGUUCCCAUACUAUUAUGGGAACCAUUCCUAUAAUGUUAUAAGAAUAGUUCCUAUAAUUUAUGGGAAUGGAUCCUAGAAUUUAUAGGAAUAGUUCCUAUAUAUUAUGGGAAUGAUUCUACUAUAGGAAGUCUUCCUAUAAAAUAUGGGAACCAUUCUUAUAAUUAUAGGGACUAUUCCUAUAAUGGUAUGGGUAGCAUUCCCAUAAUUAUAGGAACUAUUCCUAUAAUUAUAGGAGCUGCUCCCAUAAUUUAUGGUCGUAAUUCCUAUACUGGUAUAGGAAAGAAUUUCACAAAAUUAUGGGAACCAUCCCCAUAAUCUUCUUUCCGUAUAGCGCCAUCUGUGUGCAUGUACUUCGACUAACUAUUGUCUACGUGGCCUUGUCGCCAAAAUUAAUGUACUUCACUGAAUUAUAGGUUUUAUGAGCCACAAUUUGACGCUUUUUCAGAGUAAUAAGUGGGGGGGGGGGUGGUUUUUAAAAGUAUAGCCAAUUGUUUUAAAAUUUAAACAGUUUUACCGAAAAAAAAAAAAUUAUCCACUCACAGUGUUUUUGUAAAGUUACAAAAUUUCAUAUUUAUGUUCAAGAUUAUUAUUUAAAUGUAAAAUAAAAAAAUGUAUCAAUAUCAAUAGUAGA